AAUGGGGGCACAGCACAGCAACCAUCUCAUUUUCUUACCUGUAACACAAUAAUAAUAAUAAUGCUUAAACUGUCGAUAGAUGGCAGUGCAGAAAUCUGUGUGCAGAACAGGAAAGUUAGAUGGCGUUGCUGUGCCCUCAUUCUGAGUGAUUGCAAGUAACGAGUGAAAUUUGUGUCAGCAAUUUUUCGUAAUUCUGGUGUGUUUCUAAGGAUUUUUAACUCAGUUAUAACGGUAUGUGAGACUCUGAAUUAGAGUAAUGAACUACUGCUGUUUGUCUCUUCCUAUCAUGCCAUUUCUCACUGACAAAGUUUACCUCUCUCCAGCCAAACAUUGCACCAAAUGGCAUACUCUUUUCUUGAGUUGCUAAUGAAUUCAAGUCCACAAGAAAUGGCUCCGCAACAGCAAGAUUAACAAUACCAUCAUCAGACUCGACUGUAAUCUUCAUCUACUUUGGAUUGUCAACCAUCUACUACCAGUUUCUUGCAGAUCCAGCAUUGGAAGUUUCUACACUUGGCCAAUCAUCAACAACCAUGAAUCCAGUCUUCACAGCUUCCCUUCUUUGCCAGCCAAGAACCAGAAUCAGUUAGCUUCAGCAUCCUAGCAUGAAAUCGUCAUUUUCAAAUGCCAUCUCAACUGUUUGCAGCCUUUAUCACUCUUCUUAGCCUGACAACAUGCAUACUGUUAUGCCAGCCUUUUUAAAUACUCUUCAUGCCAUCACCUCAUUAUGAAUUGUCAAGUUUUCAUUUGCAUUUAUGUUCAAAAAACGCUGUCAAGUAGUUAUCAUGCCGCCGUAUGAGAUUAAAAACAUAAUGCCCACAGCCGAGUGAAAGAGGGCAUCUCAAAAUCUUUGCGGCUCCAAAACAGCUGACGGGGAUGGCAUUCGGCGCAACGUGGAACUUCUCGUCUAUUUUGGUAUUGUUUGUGUGUGUGUGUGUUGUGUUUGUGAGUUAACCCGUUGGCUGCCACCCAUUUUGCUCCCAUUUUUUUUUUAGCUGUAGGGACCGCGCGCACUGCUCUGCCCCAUGGCCAUGGGGUAGGGCAGUGCUCCGCCGAAAGGCGGUUAGGCAAUGCACCAGUAGGGACUUCUCUUUGUUCGAUGCGGUGAUGGUUACCCGAGGGUGUGCAUUCCCUGUAAAGGUUUCCAUCGUCGUGUCAGCCCGGACUUGUCUUCGGACAAGUCCCAUCAGAUCGUGGAUCCUUCAGACGACGAUGCGUAGAUUGUAGACAACAACCUACGGGUUGAAUGGCUUGGCAGCCAACGGGUUAACUCAGUGUAUGUGUUUGUAUUGUAAUGUAUUGUAAUUUAUUGUAUAAUUAUGUAAUUGAAAACAGUGGUGGAAUUGUGGGAUGGAGGUGGGACAAUAAAUGAAAUUCCAUUUA